rnacentral:rRNA from 1 species
GUCGAGCGAACGGACGAGAAGCUUGCUUCUCUGAUGUUAGCGGCGGACGGGUGAGUAACACGUGGAUAACCUACCUAUAAGACUGGGAUAACUUCGGGAAACCGGAGCUAAUACCGGAUAAUAUUUUGAACCGCAUGGUUCAAAAGUGAAAGACGGUCUUGCUGUCACUUAUAGAUGGAUCCGCGCUGCAUUAGCUAGUUGGUAAGGUAACGGCUUACCAAGGCAACGAUGCAUAGCCGACCUGAGAGGGUGAUCGGCCACACUGGAACUGAGACACGGUCCAGACUCCUACGGGAGGCAGCAGUAGGGAAUCUUCCGCAAUGGGCGAAAGCCUGACGGAGCAACGCCGCGUGAGUGAUGAAGGUCUUCGGAUCGUAAAACUCUGUUAUUAGGGAAGAACAUAUGUGUAAGUAACUGUGCACAUCUUGACGGUACCUAAUCAGAAAGCCACGGCUAACUACGUGCCAGCAGCCGCGGUAAUACGUAGGUGGCAAGCGUUAUCCGGAAUUAUUGGGCGUAAAGCGCGCGUAGGCGGUUUUUUAAGUCUGAUGUGAAAGCCCACGGCUCAACCGUGGAGGGUCAUUGGAAACUGGAAAACUUGAGUGCAGAAGAGGAAAGUGGAAUUCCAUGUGUAGCGGUGAAAUGCGCAGAGAUAUGGAGGAACACCAGUGGCGAAGGCGACUUUCUGGUCUGUAACUGACGCUGAUGUGCGAAAGCGUGGGGAUC